CCUUUGGGGUUGGGAGUGGUGGGGAAAGGAAUGUACCUCUAUUUUUCUUGCUAUUUGUUGCUCUCCAUUGAAAAGUAUCUCUUCACUUUUCUGACCAGAAAGAUGGUGUUUCAUGAAGGUAGAGUACAUAGUAAUUAGGCCGGGAAUCAACUUGGCCACACCACAUUGCAUCACUCGCAUGCUCUGUGCACACUCCCCCUGCCUGCCCCACCCUACCACAUCCUUCCUCUGCCUCCCUGUUUAUGCGUUUGGUGCAGAAUAAAGAAACAGUGAGGGUGUUUAGGGAGCCCAGCCUCAUGGGGUAGCAAUUGGCACAAGGAGGCUGUGACACAGAGUGACCUGGAAUUCCAAGUGGAAGACUGAGGUAUGAGGACAGCUGAGAUGGUGCUGUGGUCCUUUCUUAGCUGUAUUCUUGUCCUGCGAAGGUCCAGUGGUCCAGUCUUUAACUGAACUCUUGUCCUGGGAUAUGAGGGUUACCAUUGGGUGGCAUCAAAAGGCCCCUUAUAGGCUCUUUGAUAUUUCAUGGCCAUUGCCAGACUUGAAACCUUAGUUUUGGGGAUGGGUCCUCUCAUCAGUCACUACCUAGGGGAUACAAUCAACCCAGUGCUUUCUUGUAGUGGCCAAAUGGCAACAAAACUGGUGUAUCAGAUAUGUAAUCCUCCUCUCCCUCAACUCUGAAGGGCCAGAGGAAAUCCACUCUAGGGGAGUUUAAGCUGCUCUGAUAUUAUAAGGGUGUAUGUUGGCUGAGGCUGGGAGUGAGUCCUCUGGGAACCAAAAGUUCUGAAUGAUGGUAUUGUUGCACUUGAUUGCCUCUGAGGAGUGGUCUGAAAGAAAAGAAGAGAUAAAGUAGAAAUGUUAAAUGUUUCCAACAAAAGCUAUUAAGGGAGAAUUUCCUGACUCAGUACUUCUUGGCAUUUCUUGAGGUUUUUUUACAGACAACUUAAGGUUACUCUUUUGUGUGCCUGUGGUUUAUUUUGUUGUUGUUUAGUUUUUCUUUCAGCUUAUUGGUUUUCAUUGAUGAGAGAGUUGUGCAAGCCAAGGACCCAGACAUUACCAGGAAAAGAGGGGAGCCAUUCGGUGACCACUCAUGCCCAGUGCCAGCGGAAACCUGAGCGUGGUCCUUGCUGCCCUGGCCUCUGCUGAAGUUGGACCCACCCUCAUCUAAACUCAUUGGGGCUGUUCUCUAGGCAGCCUCAAGUCUUGGGAGUGUUUUCCUAACACUCCCAAGCACUGGCUUAUUAACCUACACACCACGUGACCCUUGACUUCUGUGGAGGGAUGAAUUGUGUUUUCCCAAAAUCCUUAUGUUGAAGUCCUAGCCCCACUACCUCAGAAUGUGAUGUAUUUGGAGAGAAGGUCUUUACAGGUCAAAUUAAAAUGAGGUCUCUAGGGUGGGCUCUAAUCCAGUAUGACUGGUGUUCUUAUGAAAAGGGGAAAUUUGGGGACAAACCCACACAGGGAGAACACCAUGUGGAAGACAAAGGCAGGGGCUGGGGAGAUGCUUCUAUGUGCUAAGGAAAGUCAAAGAUGGCACACAUCUUUGAACAUCAAAUAUGACACUUGGCAGUUGAGAAAACAGCUAAAGCAGGAAGCCCACUGUCGCCUUCCCUUAGCCCAUCUCUCCAGAAGUAGGUCAUAAAACCUAGAACACAUUUUCUGACCUUUUUCUGCAGCAGGUCAUAAGAUUCUCAUGUGAGAGGUACCCUCCCUAUAGCUGGAGGAAAGGAACAUCCUUAUCUCUGAGCACGGGGACACAGAAAAAUCUGAACAAACAGACUGUGUUAAAUUUACCCCCAUUUAUUACCAUUAGGUCACACCUCCUUUGCCCAAUCACACUUCUCCACAAUUAUCACUUCUUCACCAAACUUAGGAUAACACUACAGAUGUUUUUCAGCUUUGCGUCUUCAUUUCCAAAGGAAAUGCUUCUUAUGCUGUGAAAAACUUAUAUUAAAUGAAUUUGCCAUGCUUUUCUCCUGUAAAUCUGUCUUUUGUUAUAGGGGCCACAGUCAUGAAUCCAAGAGGGGAAGAAAAGAUAUUUCUUGUCCCCUGAAGACUUCUAGCUUUCAGGACGAAAGAAACCCUACAGAUUCCAUUGAUCUGGCGUGGAGCUGGACGUCUUUCAGGAAGAAGAGUUUUCAUUAAAACACAACCACAACAAAGCAAAAAAAAAAACAGCAAUUGAGGCUCUGAUUUUCUUCUGGGUGGUGAUGGGCCUAGACACAGAGACAUAUUUCCUAGCCUCCUGUAAACAGGAGUUGUUUGUUGGGUUUCCAGAAACCUUCAAAAAUGCUGCCUCAGCUGGAAGAGCUACAUUUGUUGCCUUCCCCUAUUUCCUGGUUCCCUCCUGGAAAGCAGAAAUGAUGGCUGGCAUUCCAACAGCUAUCUUGGACCAUGAGGUGACCUUGAGGAUGAAAGCCAUGUAUUAAGUAUGACGGCAAAGAAAGAGAAAAAAGCAUCUGGUCUUCAGUAACUGUGGAUCUUCCAUUACAUCCUGGGGCUGCCCAGCUCAAGACUCUUAUGUGGGGAAAGAUCAAUCUGUAUAUCAUUAAGUCACUUACGUGGGCUACUGUUAAAUGCAGAGGAACCUAUCCUAACUGAUACAUUUUUGUUAUUCUGAAGAUGCUUAUUUUCUUCCUAUGUCUUUUGACUAGAAAAAUGGGUAAAAAUGAAGAUAAUAGUAAGGACACCUGUUGCUCUGCUAGCGAUGGAAGGAGAGGAAGCCCUUAAUUGCUCUCUCCCUUCCUCACGGACCUGUUUUGUUGCUAUGAAGAUUGUCAAGGGCAGGCCUCCAGAGGAAACAAGCUCAGGGAAGUCUCUGCUGUGUACCAGUCCCAUGGCCCCAGGCUGUCCUUGGCUCUCGUUAUGUCACUCACAUUGGUGAGUGGGGGGAGCCCUUCCUCCGGGAGUCUGAGAUGGCUGCAUUGAACUUGUUGCCCUGGUCAUACUCAAAGGCAAGGCUACAAAAGAACACAAAAGAACUCUGCCUAAAAGUGGAGAGGAGAAGAAAGAACAUGAUUCAUGUUUGUCAAAUCGAGCAUUUAUUACGUGAUCCAAAGCUUUCUGUGGUCUGAUACUGGAAAUUGUAAUUUGUACUCUGUAGGUAAAAUAUUAUACCAGUUACAAAUAAAUAGUAAUCAAUACUAACCAGUAAGCAAGACCUCAAUUACACUUUGGCCAUACAGAGAGCUAGAUGAUCAUUUUUAAUGUAGCAGGGAGAAGAAAGAGAGACAUAAGAUGUUCCCCAUAAGCUUUAGUAGUAAAGAGGACAUAAAAGGAAUUCAUCAGCCCCUUGGAGCUAUGUGUGAUAUGCAAGGUCCCAAAUGAGAAAUUCUCUGGAACUUAAUGUGAUAGUUCCAGCAAUUUCACCCGAGAUACAGAUGUUCUUUAGGAAGUGGUUUGGAAGUGGGUUAAAAGCGGAAGAAAAAAGAGACAUAAAAAUUCAGAGAAAGCAAAGAGGGGAAUAUAAAGAAAUGAAAGGAAAAAGGGAAGAAAAAAUAAAGGAAAGGAGAAUGGACAAGGGAAAGAAAGAAGGAACAAAAGAAAGAAAAGAGAAAGGAAGGAAAGAAGGAAGAAAGAAAGAAAAGGAAGGAAGUAACAAAGAGAGCAAAGCUUAGAAACCCUGCAGUAAAACUUUCUCUACCUCCGAGUCAAAUAAAACCUCUUUCUUGGCACUGGUUGAUGUUCAAGGUGUGAUUACUUGAAUUCAGGAAAGAGCCCAAGAGAGGUGUGUUUGUUCUACCGGGAGCGGUGGUACCCUUAGCAUGUCUUCCUGCAUUUAUAUGCAGCCAGGGAACUCCAGGCCAUUUUCCAUGGUGAUCACUUUCAGGAGGUAAACCAAACCUCAUUCCUGGGCAACCUCAGCUGAGUUUUAAUCCUGAUCCUACCAUUUAUGAGGAGUGGGCCAUUGGGGAAGUCACUUAACUUCUUGUAGUCUGCUUUUCCUUACUUCCAAAUCCUGGGAUUAUCACCCCUCCCUUGAAGAAUUGUUGGGGAGAAUGAAAAGGCCAUUGUGCAUGAAAAUUAUUGGCAGAGGCCUUGAGCCAGAGGAACACUUCCAUAAAUGAGAUGCCUGCCUCGUGCUUUUCUUCUCUCUCACUCUGGUCAGAUGUUAUCGGAGGUGCCCUAGGCUGCAUUGCUGAGAUUCUCCAUGGCUCUGGGGUAAUGGUUGAGAAUAACAGGCAGAAGAGUACCACCGGCAGGGUAUGGCAUGGGGACCUCCACUCAGUGCCAGCGAUAGGGGUGCAAAUCUGUAAAGAAUUGAAAAACAAUGAUGAAUCAACUAAAAUGGGAUCUGCUUUUUUUUCCCCGAGACAUGGUCUCACUCCCUUUGCCCAGGCUGGAGUGCAGUGGCCCAAGGUUCAAGUGAUCCUCCCACCUAAGCCUCCCGAGUAGCUGGGACUAGAGGCAUGCACCACCAUGCCCAGCAUAUUUUUGUAUUUUCUGUAGAGAUGUGGGCUCACUAUGUUGCUCAAGCUGGUCUUGAACUCCUAGGCUCAAGCAAUCCACUCACCUUGGCCUCCCAAUGUGUUACAAUAACAGACUUGAGCCACCACUCCUGGCCCCCUGAAAUACCGCAAGCAGCCCCUGAGAUCUGUUUUCUACUGGCACCGUGUACCCCCAUUUCUAAAUAAUGUCAUAAUAAAAACUCCUCCCUGACAAAUGAUCUAAAUGUUUAACAACAGCUGUGGUUACUGUUGUUUUAAUGCUAUAUAGAGGCUUCAAAUCAGUACAUGUUAAUUAUUUACCUUUUAAUAAAUAUGUCUUAUAUAGAAGUUAAUCCAGACACUUCCUGGUUAUGUGAAAGUAAGUGUUUAUUUGAAGGGUCAGUUCAUAAUGGCUUGGAAUCCUUUGAGCUCCUGUUGCCUGACGUUUGUUUCUUCCGUGCUUAUUAUGCUAAAUAUUCCUACAGAUUUGAAAAAAAACGAUGAUUGCAAAAGACAAGGAAACAGAACUUGAAUUACCUCAUUUCUGACACUCUAGGUGAAUAUUUUGAGUGUUUCUGUUUAAAAUUUGAAAUGAUAAAAUAUUGAAAAUUUGUGUGGCAUGAAAUUCUUGUUAAGUGCAAAUUUUUAGUUCAUACACAAAAUACAUUUUUUUUUUUUGAGACAGACUUUCACUCUUGUUGCCCAGGAUGGAGUGCAACGGCAUGAUCUAGGCUCACUGUUGCGAUUUAGGCUCACUCUGCCUCUCUGGUUCAAGUGAUUCUCCUGCCUCAGCCUCCUGAGUAGCUGGGAUUACAGGCACAUGUGACCAUGUCCGGCUAAUUUUGUAUUUUUAGUGGAGAUGGGGUUUCUCCAUAUUGGUGAGGCUGGUCUCAAAAUCCUGACCUCAGGUGAUCUGCCUGCCUUGGCCUCCCAGAGUGCUGGGAUUACAGGACUGAGCCACUGCACCUGGCCUUUACAUAAAAUAUUUUACUGAAUGUAAAUAAUAGCUUUAAAAUGGAAAUGCACUCUUCUUUUAAAAUUAUAAUUCUUUUAAAGCUAAAUAAAGCCAGUAAAUAAAAUAUUACCACAAU